rnacentral:rRNA from 1 species
UGCAGUCGAGGGGUAACAGGGAUUGCUUGCAAUCCGCUGACGACCGGCGCACGGGUGCGUAACGCGUAUACAAUCUGCCUCUUACUGGGGGAUAGCCCAGAGAAAUUUGGAUUAACACCCCAUGGUAUGAUGACUUGGCAUCAAGAUAUCAUUAAAGGUUACGGUAAGAGAUGAGUAUGCGUCCUAUUAGCUAGUAGGUAUGGUAACGGCAUACCUAGGCGACGAUAGGUAGGGGCCCUGAGAGGGGGAUCCCCCACACUGGUACUGAGACACGGACCAGACUCCUACGGGAGGCAGCAGUGAGGAAUAUUGGGCAAUGGAGGCAACUCUGACCCAGCCAUGCCGCGUGCAGGAAGACUGCCCUAUGGGUUGUAAACUGCUUUUAUACGGGAAGAAACACCGCUACGUGUAGCGGCUUGACGGUACCGUAAGAAUAAGCAUCGGCUAACUCCGUGCCAGCAGCCGCGGUAAUACGGAGGAUGCAAGCGUUAUCCGGAAUCAUUGGGUUUAAAGGGUCCGUAGGUGGAUUAGUAAGUCAGAGGUGAAAGCCUGCAGCUCAACUGUAGAACUGCCUUUGAUACUGCUAGUCUUGAGUUAUUAUGAAGUAGUUAGAAUAUGUAGUGUAGCGGUGAAAUGCAUAGAUAUUACAUAGAAUACCAAUUGCGAAGGCAGAUUACUAAUAAUAUACUGACACUGAGGGACGAAAGCGUGGGGAGCGAACAGGAUUAGAUACCCUGGUAGUCCACGCCGUAAACGAUGGUCACUAGCUGUGUGGAUUUCGGUCUGCGUGGCUAAGCGAAAGUGAUAAGUGACCCACCUGGGGAGUACGUUCGCAAGA